AUGAAUACCAAUGAUAACACACACUUGCCAACUGAAUCUUCUAUGACGACAGAAGGGAAAGAAAUAGCAGUGACUAUGUUACAAGAACAAGAAAGCCUUCCAUUUUCAGGUUCUAUGACACACAGUUCAGGGGUCCAUCAAAGUAGGUGUCUGACAAAAAGGAAACGAGUGACAACAGUCAAUAGUUAUGAUGUGUCUGCAUCUGACCAAAGCAUCCUUGCUCAGCCAAACAUGUGCCACCCAAAAAAGGGUACUCGGCUGAAGAUCAGUCCAUCUGGAAUUUCUGUAUCUCCUAUUGCUUCAUAA
rnacentral:rRNA from 1 species